UUUGCUAUUUGAUGACCAGUGG
rnacentral:miRNA from 1 species